rnacentral:rRNA from 1 species
GACGAACGCUGGCGGCGUGCUUAACACAUGCAAGUCGAACGGUAAGGCCCUUCGGGGUCCCCGAGUAGCGAACCGGUGAGUAACACGUGGGUGACCUGCCCUGCACUUCGGGAUAAGCCUAGGACACUGGGUCUACUACCGGAUAGGACGCCUGGAUUCUUGGUUGGGGGUGCAAAGCUUCUGCGGUGUGGGCUGGGCCCGCGGCCUAUCAGCUUGUUGGGGGGGUAAUGGCGUACCAAGGCGACGGCGGGUCGCCGGCCUGAGAGGGUGACCGGUCACACUGGGACUGGGAUACGGCCCAGACUCCUACGGGAGGCAGCAGUGGGGAAUAUUGCACAAUGGGCGCAAGCCUGAUGCAGCGACGCCGCGUGAGGGAUGACGGCCUUCGGGUUGUAAACCUCUUUCAGCUAUGACGAAGCGCAAGUGACGGUAGUAGCAGAAGAAGGACCGGCCAACUACGUGCCAGCCGCCGCCGUAA